GAUGAACGCUGGCGGUGUGCCUAACACAUGCAAGUCGAGCGAACACACAAUAAGCUUUUGCCCUUGCCGGUGGCGAGUGGCGGGCGAGUAACACAUAGAUAACCUUCUAAUUAUUCGUGGAGGAUAACGUGAAACCACAUACGAUACUACAGAAUAUGUCCUACCGCAUGGAGCAGUAGUGAUUCACGGCUUGCCCGUCUCUAUUAGCCGAUGUCGCGCCGCAUUAGCUAGUUGGUAAGGUAACGGCUUACCAAGGCGACGAUGCGUAGCCGAUCUGAGAGGAUGAUCAGCCACACUGGAACUGAGACACGGUCCAGACUCCUACGGGAGGCAGCAGUGGGGAAUAUUCGGCAAUGGGCGAAAGCCUGACGGAGCAACACCGCGUGGGUGAUGAAGGUCUUCGGAUCGUAAAGCUCUGUUAUUGGGGAAGAAAAGCUGUAGAAGUAAAUACGCACGUCUUGACGGUACCUAAACAGAAAGCCACGGCUAACUUCGUG
rnacentral:rRNA from 1 species